GGACUACUCGGGUAUCUAAUCCCAUUCGCUCCCCACGCUUUCGUCCUAGCAGAGUCAGGUGACACCCAGAAGCUUGCCUUCGCUAUCGGUGUUCCCAGCGAUAUCAACGCAUUUCACUACUACACCGCUGGUUCCAGCUUCCUCUUUGUCCCUCGAGUGUACCAGUUUCAAAAGACAGUCUGAAAGUUAAGCCUUCAGAUUUCACUUCUGACUUGGUACACCUCCGAUCGGUACGCUUUACGCCCAAUAAUUCCGGAUAACGCUUGAGGUCUCUGUAUUACCGCGGCUGCUGGCAC
rnacentral:rRNA from 1 species